rnacentral:lncRNA from 1 species
GCAUUUAAUAAUACAUUGUGAAACCUCUAGAAAAUAAAUACAACAUUUCACUCUCUCACGGUAAGAGAGGAUAGCAAUGAUUUAUUCUAUAUUGCAUCACAGUCCCCCCCAAACAGCUGAAAAGGGGGUAAAGCAUCAAUAACAAGCAAUCAAAGCAUAUUAAAACACUUUACGGUAUUUGUAAAUCAGUCUCAUAAGAAGGUUGUUAAAGAAAAAAAAAAAAAAGGUUAAAAAAAUUGCAAACUUAUUUUCAGGAAUUAACUAAGCAGGCGAUACAAACAUUUAUACACAACUUUUAAGGCAAAAUGAAGAAAUAUUUACUUCUUAUUUACAGGGUUUUCUACCAUUUUCCUUUUAAGAAUGUCCAUGAUAUCUUAACCAUAACUCACCCAAAUCCUCUACAUAAAAAGCUGGUACUAAGCAUGUUGGAGACUGAAAGUUGAGAAUAGCAGUGCUAUUCAGUAAACACGGUAAUUGUGCUGUAUUUAAAAACUAACAAAAUUAGAAAAAUAAAAAUGUAAAAAAUUUUAAGUUAAUCUGGGUACGGAAGUAAACUUCAACAUGAAUAAUGAGUGAAUGGUUUUGGAUAAAUGUGCACAGUCCAAAUAUUUUUGGGAUAAAAGCACACAUCCCGGCCAAAAACAUCUCAUGCCAAUAAGCCUCUUUUUUUUUUUUUUUUUUUUAAUCGCCUUCUGCCUUGAACUUGUUAUAUAUUAACUUUGAUAAUUUAAGAUUUUGAAUGAAUAUUAAUCUAAGUAGAAAAUGCCAAUUUUUCAAAUAUUUAAUUAAGUAAAACUGAUUAUCUGCCUUGAUUUACAAGAUUUUUAGCUUCCAUUUAUCAGCAUUGGAAAUUUGCAAACUGGUGUGUGUGUGUGUGUGUGUGUGUGUCUGUCCCUCUCCCCCACCCCAGCCCCCACAAAUUUUUUUUGAAAUUCUCACAGGGCAAAAAGGUCAGUUCUAAAUGUUUUUGUUGGUAGAAUAUGUCUCCCAUUCCUAUUCAGAAGCACAUCUUGCUUUUGGGCCAUCAGAAGCUUGACCACAUAUGUGAAUAUGUCAUUCUCCGGUUUUGACGUUCAUUUGCAUACGAAGGUAGGUUGAAGACCUCGUUAUUCCUGAAGCAGGACUACCAACUUUUUUUUUCUUGAAUGGUGUUUACCAACACAGCCUUGAGUUUAUUGUGCUCUAUAAUUUACUUGUAACCAACAUAGCUCUGGCCUCUGGCUCCUCAAUAUACACACACGUGUUCCUUUUCUACAAUGUACAUUGUAAUCAAUUUGUCUGUCUCUGUAGACUUGAUUUCUCGUCAUAUAUUUCAAACUUUUACUGGAUCAGCAUAAAAUCAUUCAAAGGGCUUUUCUUCCAGAUAGUCUGCUCUGUAAUACUAUUAAGACUACAUGUAUGGGAAAACACCAACAAUUCCCUAGUAUUUUGUUUACUGUUUUACUUAAAGCAGAUUUAUUGGCCUUCAAAAAUUAACGUUUAGCACCAACUAUGGAUAAUUUUUAACAUUGGUCCAAUAAAUAGACAAAACUAAGUAGAUUGGGUAUUUAAGUAAAUCAAAAUGAUGUUUCUAAACACAUUGUUACCAAACACAGGUAACAUUAUUUUAGAAAAAAAGAAAGAAAAGGUAAAAAUAAAGAGCGACACAGACAAAUUCAGUUUCUGGAAAUAGAACUGCAAAAAAAUGAGUUAGUUGCCCAUUUGGUGCUUAAGGUGUCCAAAUGCUUAGGAAUGCCUUUUCCAAAGUUUCUAUUAAUUUUUUUUUCAAAUCUCUAUGGUAGAUGUCCGGUGUUACUCAAAGAGCAUCUGCACAUAUCAAGUUCAUCAAUUCUUCACUGCUCAUACAUGCACUGAAUCAACAGGGGAUGAGAAAACACUCUGGCAACUUGCAGGAUUUUUGGAUUACAAUGAUUGGACAAAGGAGUUGUAUUCCAAAAGCUGGUUGAAGGGGCAAAAAAAGUUGACUUUCCCAUUGAGAGUUCUAGUCAGUUUGGCACUUCAUAUUUAAAAAGAGGUCAAAAAGCAGCACAUCACACAGAGACGCUAGGCAACAUCCAUCCAAAAGAACCCCAUGGAUCUGCCACAUUUGUAAAAGAGGAACCAAUUAUCAAAAAUUUGGAUAAGGGCGUCGGGCAUCUUUGGACAUUUUCACUUCCACUGCUCUUUGCUGUGAUUGAGAAAACCUAAUUGGGAAAAAUAAAUAAAUAAAU